GCCAGCCUAGUGUAGUGGUUUGAAUGUUGGACUAUGACUCUGGAAUCCAGGGUUCAAAUCCCUACUCAGCCA